ACUAUGAUAAUAGAGAAACUCAAUGAACAGUGGCAGGUAGAUGAUUCACCUACCUGCCUUUCUGCUUCACCCUUUCAUUGCCCUGCCACGUUUUGAAUGGUUUGACACCUGUUUUGUGGGUGCUAUUUGCCAGGCUUAUCUCAUCAUCUCGUCUUUUUCUCUGAGGGUUUAGAUUUUUGAACAGUAAACCCACUGCAUUCUGUGGGUUUCUUUAUCUCUGUCAUGCUUUCUUCUCAGGUGAUUGAAGUUGAGAAUCUUUUAAUACUUGUGUUCUCAUGCCUUCAGGGCUCUUGUGAUGUUUAUGUAGGGUUUUUGUUUCCAUAUUUGUUUUGGGGUUUUUUCGUAAGUUGGAUUUCUGAUUCCCGAUUUGGGCCGCCGACUUGCCCUAUUCGGUUUUCUGAUUUGGGUUUUGUCGCCGUUUAUGUGGUUAGUCUCAUAUGGGGUUGCCGAUUUGUGAUUUUUUGCCGGAAUCGUAAUGGGUUUAAACCCUAAUACCAAUGCAAAGUGUAUAUUUCUUUUCCUUGCUGAUGAGGCUAUGAUGAUUUUGUAGAUCUGAGUAAAAACUGAAUGAAGAUAGUUGCAUGGCGUGCCAAGGUUGUAGGAUGGCAGUUCAUGCAACCUCUCUUGCAGCCAUGGUGUUGUCAUCUUCAUGCACAAUCUGAGCCUCGCAAUGCGAAUUUUUUGCAAGUUAGACACCAUGAAUGACCUUCGCCGACGGUCUGUUGGUGAUUGAGGUUUCAAAAAGGGAUCGUGUAUAAUCGUUGUCAUAUCUGUACAAGAAAAUGGACUUUGGUUGGUCUGAUUGUGUUGCAAGGGUUCAGCGUUUUUGAGAUUAGGUGAAACUGAUUGAAUAUUGGUUUAGAUUUAAAUCGUUCAAACUACCUAGAGAUCUGGAGUAAACCAAAUCAACCAAUUUAGUAUUUGGUUGACUUGGUUGUUAAAUAUCAACAUGUUUUGUAUCAAAAUGUGCAGCACUCAUGGUACUUGAAUGGAAUAUUGAAGUAGUCAUUUAACAAUGGCUUAUAUUUAUCCAUAUUUUUUUUCCAUAAGAACUCAUUUUCGACGGUUGUGAUUGUAUUGGGUCUCAAGAGUAUCCUAAAUUAGAUGGUUCAGUUGUUCUGCGGCUUGCUAAUCUAGAACCUUUUCUUGUAAUAAGAUGGUUUAUUAAGUAAAUCUUCAUUUUGUUCGACUGAGAAUUCAUGUCAUGCGGAUGGGAUGAACAGUGGUAUGGUCAUUUUAGGGAUUUACCACCAGAUACUCGGGAUUCUCCAACAGCUUCCAUCGCGCUUUGAAUAGAUUAUCAACACACAAUUUAGGGCUCUAGAGAGAGGAGUAAGAGAGACAGAUUAGAGAGGGGAGUGGAGCGACAGUGAUGGAGGAACUGGCCGUCGUUUUACGCUGGCCACCCAACCCUCAAGUUAAGCCGGUGGUGAUGGUUUGGUGGUAUGCCGCACCGUAGUUGACGGCGACCAUGACGGCUAUGGGUCUAGGGUUCCGGCGAGGGUACCAGUGUCUCUUCGGCCGAUCUAGAUAUAGAAUAGGCAACUCAUCAUGUACAGUUGAGAAGUUGAAUUAGCAGUCACAUUUCAAUACCAGUUUCUACCAACUUGUCUACUUAUCACCAUUACGUGGGGCAACGGCGACUCCGGUUAUUUGUGGCUGCGUGUGAGAUGCGUUGGGGCUACAAAUGGUAGUGAAAUAACACUGGAUAGUAGGGGUCACGACUACCAUAAUAGAACAACAAAUGGACAACAACGACUUGCAAUCAGGUGCAGUCUUGGGAUCGAUUACGGGUCGAACUGUGAGUAACAGCACAACAACAAGCCGAGAUCUUUGGCAGUUGUGUGGGAGUGUUUUGGGCUGCUAACGGUGUCUAAAAAACCAUUAUAAGUGAUGGUAACGGCUGCCAGAAAAGAUCAUAAUCAAGAGCCCAUGCUCAAGUGAUUUGGGGACGGUUUCAGUGCCGAAUCAUAGGUGUACAAACUGUGAAUUCGUAAGGAUACACAUAUGGUAGUAAUAAUAUAGUAUUCAUCAUACAAAAAUGGAUAAGAGAAGACCUGGGUCUACACUCAUUUGGACCCAAUUAUUAUUGGAUACUGGUAUUUGAUGGGUCAAUUAUGCUCUUUGCGCUCUAUAUUAUCUCUGCAAUACAUCUACCAAAGAUGACUUUUGAGACCAAAAGUGGUAGAUAUCAUUAUGAGGUGCAGUCAGGGUUUGUUUGAUCGUCUUUCGAGAGGUAAUGCAAGGUCGGGUAGUGUCUUUGGAGUCAAAAGGGG